UACGGAGGGGGCGAGCGUUAUUCGGAAUUAUUGGGCGUAAAGGGCGCGUAGGCGGCUGUACAAGUCAAAGGUGAAAUCCCUCGGCUCAACUGAGGAACUGCCUUUGAAACUGUACGGCUUGAGGCCGGGAGGGGGUAGCGGAAUUCCCAGUGUAGCGGUGAAAUGCGUAGAUAUAGGGAAGAACACCAAUAAAGGCGAAGGCAGUUAACUAUUCUAUUCCUGACAUUGAGGCAUGAAAGCGUGGGGAGCAAAACGG
rnacentral:rRNA from 1 species